UGCUGACAGCGUUCUUCGGUUAGGGUCAGACAAACUAAACCACGUCCAUGCGUCACCAUGAAAUUAAUGGCUUCGGGUGUGACGAACUCGGCCGCCAUGAC
rnacentral:antisense_RNA from 1 species